rnacentral:lncRNA from 1 species
CCCGAGCCCGCUGGGAUGGCAUAGCACUAGGUGGGGCUGGGAAUUUCUCUGUUUGCAGGCUUGGCAAUCCCUCUGAGCACACACAACCUGCCCAAAGGACACGAAUCUGUGCAGACAGCAAGUGGGAUGCUCCCCUCUCCACGCACAGAAAACCUUUUUGUGAACAAGUGAGAGAACUGGUCGUGGCACAGGGGCAGCAUCCUCCGCUUUCCUGGAAGUGUCUGAAAUUUUGCAGGCUCUGAUGUCCAUUCCCCAUGCCCACUGAUCUGCUCGAUUGGGAUCGUUGCUUCCUGGAGAUUCCAGUUAACAGCCAAGCCCCCUUUCAGUGGCUCUGCUGGUGGCAGCCUGGGGAUGAGGAAUAGCCUUCAACAGGUGGCAAGAAAUGGAUUGAUGCAGUCAAAAUCAUUAAGACUAGAAGGACCACUGAGAUCAUCUAGUAUAGCCAUUAACCCAUACACGUGAACGUCACUGAUUGAUCUAAGCCUAGCCUUCAGCUCUGAUCUCUUGGGGAUGGAUGCAAUCCUCAAGGGCAAUAGCAAUGAUUCCCAAUGCUCUGCAGCACCCCAGGCCCAGUUCUAGCUUUCUGACUGGCUCUCAUCUCUGGGUUCAGACUAUCUCCCAUCCUUUGAAUAGACCCUCUGAACAUGGACAAGAUUCAAGAACCUUGAAGACGAGUUUGAUGUCUCUGUC